rnacentral:rRNA from 1 species
CCUACGGGAGACAGCAGUGAGGAAUAUUGGUCAAUGGACGAGAGUCUGAACCAGCCAAGCAGCGUGAAGGAUGACUGCCCUAUGGGUUGUAAACUUCUUUUAUAUGGGAAUAAAACAGGGUAUGCAUACCCUCUUGUAUGUACCAUAUGAAUAAGGAUCGGCUAACUCCGUGCCAGCAGCCGCGGUAAUACGGAGGAUCCGAGCGUUAUCCGGAUUUAUUGGGUUUAAAGGGAGCGUAGGUGGAUUGUUAAGUCAGUUGUGAAAGUUUGCGGCUCAACCGUAAAAUUGCAGUUGAAACUGGCAGUCUUGAGUACAGUAGAGGUGGGCGGAAUUCGUGGUGUAGCGGUGAAAUGCUUAGAUAUCACGAAGAACUCCGAUUGCGAAGGCAGCUCACUGGACUGCAACUGACACUGAUGCACGAAAGUGUGGGUAGCAAACAGGAUUAGAUACCCCUGUAGUC